UACGUAGGGUGCAAGCGUUGUCCGGAAUUAUUGGGCGUAAAGAGCUCGUAGGCGGUUUGUCGCGUCGGCUGUGAAAACCUGGGGCUCAACCCCGGGCCUGCAGUCGAUACGGGCAGACUAGAGUGCGGUAGGGGAGACUGGAAUUCCUGAUGUAGCGGUGAAAUGCGCAGAUAUCGGGAGGAACACCCGUAGCGAAGGCGGCACUCUGGGCCGGAACUGACGCUGAGGAGCGAAAGCGUGGGGAGCAAACAGG
rnacentral:rRNA from 1 species